rnacentral:rRNA from 1 species
UACGUAGGGACCAAGCGUUGUUCGGAUUUACUGGGCGUAAAGGGCGCGUAGGCGGCUUGACAAGUCACUUGUGAAAUCUCCGGGCUUAACUCGGAACGGCCAAGUGAAACUGUCAUGCUAGAGUGCAGAAGGGGCAAUCGGAAUUCUUGGUGUAGCGGUGAAAUGCGUAGAUAUCAAGAGGAACACCUGAGGUGAAGACGGGUUGCUGGGCUGACACUGACGCUGAGGCGCGAAAGCUAGGGGAGCAAACAGG